AUUACAACCACACGGGGGCACUGGUGCCCAUAACAUUCAAGUGGAAGCCGGGUGGACAAGUCUUCAAAGUAGAAGCGUCGCGUGUUUUGAACAGAAGGCACAACUGAUGGUCCUGAGGCCGAGACUCAAAUCUGAGACUACAGGACCCAGCAUGCACUUGGGCCUCUCUCUCUCUCCUGCCUGUGUACAGGGGCAGAGUAUUUCCCUGUGCACACACACCUGAGCUCUCACCUGGAGUGGCAUGCAGAGUGUGUGCGGUAUGUAGGCAGACUCCCUGACUUGCAGUUCACCCUGACACCAAAGGGGGUGACGGAGAGCAUAAAACGAGAUGACAGAAGACAAAAAACAGAACAUAAAAGAGAGAGAGUGGAUGGAGAAGAAGGGAGAGGUGGACAGAGGGGAAAAAGCAGAUAUGAGCCUCUCCUGUGAGCGCAGCUGGAAUAAUAUUCUUGUCGGGGCCCGUCCCCAGCCCCCCCCCUACAGGCCAGAUCCUCCCCAUGUGGGGGUACCCCACCCCCAGCCCCCCCCCCCUCCCCGUGUGACCGCACGCUGGCCCCAGACGAUCUGGAAGCACAAAACAAACGGCUAACCAAACAAGCAGAGCCCGUCGCCACCAGCCCCGUUAUCUCAAAGGAGGAUCUGUUCUAUUCUGGAACAGCGCCCAACCGAUCAGCCAUCUCUGCAGGACAGUGACCCCCCCUCACCCCCCCAGCCCAGGCCGUGACCCCCCCCACCCCCCCAAAGCACAUGAUGCACACAACAGAAUGCCUAUUGUAUCAAUCUGUGGAAACAGAAAGUCACUAAAUGAGCAUGGCUCGUAGUUUUUGUAAAGGAAACAAAAUGAAAUCUACUGCUUCACAUCACCAAUCUGAAUUUCUGACUGCAUACCUCCGCUCUGUAGUCACUCCAACAAUACGUCCUUUGAGUGUGCAGUGACGUCACAUCCAAAGCCCUGACAAGCGCCCUGAUUGUCCGAAUGACUCAUUUAAGAAGCGAAGAUGCCAGCGUUCUGUGACUCGCUGUAAGAACAGUUCUGAUUUAAAAACAAGACCAGGUUAGAACCUAGUAUAUGGCUGGACC